rnacentral:rRNA from 1 species
UGAACGCAAGUUGCGCCCCAAGCCAUCAGGCCGAGGGCACGUCUGCCUGGGUGUCACGCAUCGCUGCCCCACCCCGCUGCACCCCCCGACCUACGUGGGGGGCAMGGCGGUGWGGGCGGACAUUGGCCUCCCGUGCGCUCCCCGCUCGCGGUUGGCCCAAAUCCGAGUCCUCGGCGACCGGAGCCGCGGCGUUCGGUGGUGAAACAAAAGCCUCUCGAGCUCCCGCCGCGCGCGCCCGGUCGCCCCCGUGGGGACUCCGCGGCCCAGACGCUCCGCGCCAGCGGCGCUCGCAUCGCGACCCCAGGUCAGGCGGGACUACCCGCUGAGUUUA